rnacentral:rRNA from 1 species
UACGGAGGGUGCAAGCGUUAUCCGGAUUCACUGGGUUUAAAGGGUGCGUAGGUGGGCAGGUAAGUCAGUGGUGAAAUCUCCGAGCUUAACUCGGAAACUGCCGUUGGUACUAUUUGUCUUGAAUAUUGUGGAGGUAAGCGGAAUAUGUCAUGUAGCGGUGAAAUGCUUAGAUAUGACAUAGAACACCAAUUGCGAAGGCAGCUUACUACACAACGAUUGACGCUGAGGCACGAAAGCGUGGGGAUCAAACAGG